UGGCUUCAGUGUGAAAUGCUUCAGAACGUCGCCACAGAGUGAGAACUGAACUUUACGAAACUGCCGACAUUGAUGUUGAGCUCGAGCGACCAGAGGCUCCAGGGAAAGAGGCCCAGCUUUCUUUGAAGAAAGCUGUAGCAACCCUCCGCACCGGGGCUUAUUUCUCUGUUGAGCUUCCAGUUGCUUGCUUCUUCAAGUUGGCUUCAAUGCAUCACUCUUAUUAGUUGAAUCCCGAUGACAACGGGAAGAAAUACUGAUUGGCAAAGACGGUACUGAACAUUGUUCCACUGUAAAAGCAGACCCACCCAGGACCAGAGCAAACCCACCCAGCAAGGAUGGCUGCUGCCGCUGCGUGAAGUCCACAAACCAGAAAGCAGUGAAAAUGGUUUCAGAUUGUGCAAAGAGUUGCUUCAGAGAAGAUGCAACUAGUCCGUGGGACCAGAGCAGACCUACCCAGCCCAUGGGACCAGAGCUGCAGCAGCACGGCCCAGCAACGAUGGCUGCUGCCACUGCAUGAAGUCCACUAACCUGAAAGCAUUGUAAAGGGCUUUGGUUUGUGUGAAUUGCUUCAGUACGUCGUCGCCACAGAGUGAGAACUGAACUUUACAAAACUGCCGACAUUGAUGUUGAGCUCGAGCGACCAGAGGCUCCGGGGAAAGAGGCCCAGCUUUCUUUGAAGAAAGCUGUAGCAACCCUUCUCACUGGGGCUUAUUUCUCUGUUGAGCUUCCAGUUGCUUGCUUCUUCAAGUUGGCUUCAAUGUGUCACUCUUAUAAGUUGGAUCCCGAUGACAAUGGGAGAACAUUCUUAAAGAAGAAAUAAUGAUUGACGACGUUACUGUACAUUGAGCAAGGAUGGCUGCAAUGAAGUCCACAAAUCUAAAAGAUCUUUUCAUGGACUCUGUCUGACCAGUGUCAUGUUUUACCUGGUUGCAACACUCCACCCAGCGAGGACGGUCAUGUGUGGAACUAGACAUCAAAAGGUCAGAGACGGCAAACAACCAGAGAGAACAUCUUUUUGUGCUGAAGACUCUCGAGAGUCUGUGACCAGUAGAUGGCAGUUUUAUCUAUGGAUGUGUGGUGUGGGUGUGUGUUAUCUGUGGAUCUGGAGUCCUCGCCGGAGUCCUCGCCGGAGUCAUCGCCGGAUUCAGGUAAGGAAAACUUGGCAAAAUCCGACCUCCACUUUUAACUUUGUUUGGCAAUUCAUCUCUUUGAUAGAUUUUGGAAUUUAGUUAUUUUUUUAUUUUUUUAAUUUCCCAUGAGCAACUGUACUUAACCAACAAUCUACUAAUGUAUUCAGAGACGCAAUGUACUUACACUUCGAUUUUUGAUGCAGUACAAAAGAAAAAGCCCAAAUUGAUGUGUUUAAACGUUGAUUAUUUAAUUGAACUGAUUGUUAACACUUCAUUAGUAUAAAACUGCUUGACCAAUUAACCUUUCUAAAAAGUAUUGAAAAACAAAGUUAUACUAUUAAAUAGCGCUUUAGGGUAAAACAAAACAAAAUUCAUGUGUUUUCACAUAAUUUGUUUUUAUUGAAUUGAAUUGUAAUAAUUUAUCAGUUAAAAACUGCUUAAAUUAUUAGACAUUUUCGAAAAAGUAACGAAAAACAAAGUUACAUUGUUAAAAGAGCGCUAUAGUGGAGGUCGGAAAAUGCAAGUUGACCUUAAGGUGUAAAAGUCUUCAAGAAGUGUGUGAAGUCAGCGAAGGGUAAGAGGAGAUCUAACCCGCUCUCUUGCAGAGUCCAACCCCCGUUGAGCCCCCGCCCCAAUGUUCGUCGAUCUUGUUGAUGUGUCCUUGCUAGUAGAGAUUUCAAGGUGACCUCAUCAGAGUUUCCUCGGGGUUUCUUAAUUUGCAUAUUGGUCGAAGCCGAUGAUGCUUGUUAGUUAGGAGACCAUAGUCUUUCUGGAAAUUUCUGUUGGGUUGGUACUUCAAGUCUCAUCAGUUGUUUUGUUUAUUUAAAAUUGUUGUGAUUUUAUAUUAAAAAUAGCGCAAUGCUUUAAAAGGUCUAUUUACGUCUUUAGAAGGGCAAUAAAACAACCCUCCCAAAACCCACCAAAUGUCUUGGAGGUUACCAUGGAAUGUCUUUAGAAGGGCAAUUGCCCUGGGCAAUAACCCCCCCCCCCCCCAACCCACCAAAUGUCUUAGAUUUAACCAUGGAGUGUCUUUAGAAGGGCAAUUGCCCUGGGCAAUAACACAACCCUCCCAAAACCCACCAAGUGUCUUGUCUUAGAGGUAACCUCAAAGUGUCUUUAGAAGGGCUAUAGCCCUGGGCAAUAAACCCCCCCCCCAAAAAAAAAAAAAAGUCUUAGAGGUAAUUGUCAGUCCCAUUAAUGAUUGAUUAGUGUUUGAUUUUGGAGUGGAAAAUAUAAAAUUUAGACCACAGCUAAAUUAAUAUUUACCAUCUGAAUAUCAGCAUCACAUCAAUCAUGACCAUAAGAAAACAUGUCUCGGACCCGUACCCAUUUAAAUAAAGGUUCAAGUGACAAAUUAGGAGGGGGACCUGUUACAAAUACAUACAACAAGUUAAAGGUAUUUUUCAUAACUGCAAACUGCGACAAAAAUAAGCGAAAUGCGAAAAACUUCUCUAAGCUAUUUAUUUGUGAGCGCUGCGAUAAAGACAAGGAAAGAAGAAAGAAGAAAAAGAAGAAGGAAAGAGAAAAAAGGCAGAAGAAGAAAAAAAGGAGCAGAUCCUCCAUGGGAAAAAGACAUCACCAAUGUUUGGGUUUGUAUGGGUGGUAACCCAGUAUAAAGGCCUAGAGUAUUGAAAAAUGUGGCUUUUGAAAAAUGCUCUCUUUCAGCACGAUCAUUGGCUAUGGGUAAAGUAUAAAAGAUAUGACUGGUGUAAGUCUUAGUCUUGAUUCUAAGAUACUCAAUCUUGAAGCAAGAUUAAGAGCUACCCAGUCAUCAGUAAAGCCACAACUUGAGAAGACUCUCCCUUUGAUGUCCCGAUCAUUGGCUAUGGGUAAAGUACAAAAGAUAUGACUGGUGUAAGUCUUAGUCUUGAUUCUAAGAUACACAAUCUUGAAGCAAGAUUAAGAGCUACCCAGUCAUCAGUAAAGCCACAACUUGAGAAGACUCUCCCUUUGAUGUCCCUGAUGAGUGACUGGAUGUGACGUCGGGUAAUUGCAGCAGAGGUUAAGUAUCCGGGUCUAACAAGCGUUCUUUUCACAGCGACUAACAAGCGUUUCUUUCACAGCACUAACAAGCGUUUCUUUCACAGCGACUAACAAGCGUUUUUUCACAUUGACCAGUCUAGGCCUAGAGUA